rnacentral:rRNA from 1 species
UACAGAGACUGCAAGCGUUAUUCGGAUUCACUGGGCGUAAAGGGUGCGCAGGCGGUUGGGUGUGUCAGAUGUGAAAUCCCGAGGCUCAACCUCGGAACUGCGUCUGAAACUACUCGACUAGAGUACUGGAGAGGGUGACGGAAUUCACGGUGUAGCAGUGAAAUGCGUAGAUAUCGUGAGGAACACCAGAGGCGAAGGCGGUUACCUGGACAGUUACUGACGCUCAGGCACGAAAGCAUGGGGAGCAAAAGGG